rnacentral:tRNA from 1 species
GCGUGAAUGGGGUAGUGGUAACCUUAAUCGUUGCCAGUUUUCAAUUCGAUUAGCCAGGGGUUCGAUUCCCCUUUCACGCA